rnacentral:rRNA from 1 species
GACGAACGCUGGCGGCGCGCUUAACACAUGCAAGUCGAACGGAAAGGCCCUGCUUUUGUGGGGUGCUCGAUUGGCGAACGGGUGAGUAACACGUGAGUAACCUGCCCUUGUCUUUGUGAUAACUUCAGGAAACUGGGGCUAAUACCGGAUAGGAGCUCCUGCUGCAUGGUGGGGGUUGGAAAGUUUCGGCGGUUGGGGCUGGACUCGCGGCUUAUCCGCUUGUUGGUGGGGUAGUGGCUUACCAAGGCUUUGACGGGUAGCCGGCCUGAGAGGGUGACCGGCGACAUUGGGACUGAGAUACGGCGCAGACUCCUAUGGGAGGCAGCAGUGGGGAAUAUUGCACAAUGGGCGGAAGCGUGAUGCAGCAACGCCGCGUGCGGGAUGACGGCCUUCGGGUUGUAAACCGCUUUCGCCUGUGACGAAGCGUGAGUGACGGUAAUGGGUAAAGAAGCACCGGCUAACUACGUG